rnacentral:misc_RNA from 1 species
GAAAUGCGAUAAGUAAUGUGAAUUGCAGAAUUCAGUGAAUCAUCGAAUCUUUGAACGCACCUUUCGCUCCUUGUUAUUCCUUGGAUCAUGCCUUUUUGAGUAUCAUGAAAUCUUCAAAGUAAAUCUUUUGUUAACUCAAUUGGUUUCUACUUUGGUAUUGGAGGUCUUUGCAGCUUCACACCUGCUCCUCUUUGUUCAUUAGCUGGAUCUCAGUGUUAUGCUUGGUUCCACUCGGCGUGAUAAGUUAUCUAUCGCUGAGGACACUGUAAAAGGUGGCCAAGGUAAAUGCAGAUGAACCGCUUCUAAUAGUCCAUUGACUUGGACAAUACUUUUAUGAUCUGAUCUCAAAUCAGGUAGGACUACCCGCUGAACUUAAGC